rnacentral:rRNA from 1 species
UACGGAGGGGACUAGCGUUGUUCGGAAUUACUGGGCGUAAAGCGCACGUAGGCGGAUUUGUAAGUCAGGGGUGAAAUCCCGGGGCUCAACCUCGGAACUGCCUUUGAUACUGCAAAUCUCGAGUCCGGAAGAGGUGAGUGGAAUUCCUAGUGUAGAGGUGAAAUUCGUAGAUAUUAGGAAGAACACCAGUGGCGAAGGCGGCUCACUGGUCCGAUACUGACGCUGAGGCACGAAAGCGUGGGGAGCAAACAGG